rnacentral:rRNA from 1 species
CCUACGGGAGGCAGCAGUGGGGAAUAUUGCGCAAUGGGGGAAACCCUGACGCAGCAACGCCGCGUGGAGGAAGAAGGUCUUCGGAUUGUAAACUCCUGUCUUCUGGGACGAUAAUGACGGUACCAGAGGAGGAAGCCACGGCUAACUACGUGCCAGCAGCCGCGGUAAUACGUAGGUGGCGAGCGUUGUCCGGAAUUACUGGGCGUAAAGGGCGCGUAGGCGGUUCUUUAAGUUAGAUGUGAAAACCCAGGGCUUAACCUUGGGAGUGCAUUUAAAACUGGGGGACUCGAGUGCAGGAGAGGUAAGUGGAAUUCCUAGUGUAGCGGUGAAAUGCGUAGAUAUUAGGAGGAACACCAGUGGCGAAGGCGACUUACUGGACUGUAACUGACGCUGAGGCGCGAAAGCGUGGGGAGCAAACAGGAUUAGAUACCCCUGGUAGUCCACGCUGUAAACGAUGGAUACUAGGUGUGGGAGGUAUCGACCCCUUCCGUGCCGCAGUAAACGCAAUAAGUAUCCCGCCUGGGGAGUACGGCCGCAAGGUUGAAACUCAAAGGAAUUGACGG